rnacentral:rRNA from 1 species
CCUACGGGUGGCUGCAGUGGGGAAUAUUGCGCAAUGGGCGAAAGCCUGACGCAGCGACGCCGCGUGAGGGAUGAAGGUCUUCGGAUCGUAAACCUCUGUCAGCAGGGAAGUACGGUCACUGUGCUAAUCAGCAGUGAAUUGACGGUACCUGCAAAGGAAGCACCGGCUAACUCCGUGCCAGCAGCCGCGGUAAUACGUAGGUGGCAAGCGUUGUCCGGAUUUACUGGGUGUAAAGGGCGUGCAGCCGGCCCGACAAGUCAGAUGUGAAAUCCGCGGGCUUAACCCGGGAACUGCAUUUGAAACUAUUGGGCUUGAGUACGGGAGAGGUAAUCGGAAUUCCUUGUGUAGCGGUGAAAUGCGUAGAUAUAAGGAAGAACACCAGUGGCGAAGGCGGAUGACUGGACGGCAACUGACGGUGAGGCGCGAAAGCGCGGGGAGCAAACAGGAUUAGAUACCCGGGUAGUC